rnacentral:sRNA from 1 species
GGCUGGUGGGACAAUCUGGCUGUGCCAUCUGCCAACCCACUGAAAGCCAGGGUGGGUUUGACUGACCUGGCUGCCAGGGCAGACCACCACCCUCCCUCCCUGCUUGCCAUUCCAUUUGUGUCUCUCCGAAACCACUCUCCUGAAGAGGAUGAACCACCCACAGCAUCCCAGAGGGAGCUGAUGCUACUUCUUGGGCUACCUAAGGCCAUAUGUUAACUUCACAAAUAAAUAAUGUAAGGCUUUCUCUUGAUUUUU